rnacentral:rRNA from 1 species
CAGGCCUAACACAUGCAAGUCGAGCGGACCAUUCCUUCGGGGAUGGUUAGCGGCGGACGGGUGAGUAACACGUAGGCAACCUGCCUGUAAGAUCGGGAUAACUACCGGAAACGGUAGCUAAGACCGGAUAGCUGGUUUCUCCGCAUGGAGGGAUCAUGAAACAUGGGGCAACCUGUGGCUUACGGAUGGGCCUGCGGCGCAUUAGCUAGUUGGUGGGGUAAUGGCCCACCAAGGCGACGAUGCGUAGCCGACCUGAGAGGGUGAUCGGCCACACUGGGACUGAGACACGGCCCAGACUCCUACGGGAGGCAGCAGUAGGGAAUCUUCCGCAAUGGGCGCAAGCCUGACGGAGCAACGCCGCGUGAGUGAUGAAGGUUUUCGGAUCGUAAAGCUCUGUUGCCAAGGAAGAACGCCUCGGAGAGUAACUGCUCUGAGGGUGACGGUACUUGAGAAGAAAGCCCCGGCUAACUACGUGCCAGCAGCCGCGGUAAUACGUAGGGGGCAAGCGUUGUCCGGAAUUAUUGGGCGUAAAGCGCGCGCAGGCGGUCUUUUAAGUUUGGUGUUUAAGCCCGGGGCUCAACCCCGGUUCGCACUGAAAACUGGGAGACUUGAGUGCAGGAGAGGAAAGCGGAAUUCCACGUGUAGCGGUGAAAUGCGUAGAGAUGUGGAGGAACACCAGUGGCGAAGGCGGCUUUCUGGACUGUAACCGACGCUGAGGCGCGAAAGCGUGGGGAGCAAACAGGAUUAGAU